rnacentral:tRNA from 1 species
GGUUCCAUAGUGUAGUGGUUAGCACGUCUGCUUUACACACAGAAGGUCCUGGGUUCGCUCCCCAGCAGAGCCA